UUUUAUGCGUAUCUCAAAGUUGCUGUCACAGUGUCACACCCAUUUAUUUUGUCAUGAUGCUUCACACUGCCACGUACUUGUUUUUUAAAAAAAUUAGAUUGUCCCGUCUAAGUUGGGAAAAGUUAAGUUAAUGUUUGUUUUCUCAUCCUGUGUGGAUCUGUCAUAAUACGGGUUUUCGCGUAGGGAACGAACGUAAACGGUUUGCUUUCUGUUUAGUUACUGAUACUACCUAAUAUAUUACGAAUUAUGAAGUUGUAUUUAGGUACUUACCUCCGCGAAAACGAGCUUAUAGUUCGAUAAUGAAUUUACCGGUCCAGGAAAUAAAGUUGCGGAUACAAAUAUUUCAUAAAUUUAUCAAAAACAAAUCAAGAUUGUUAACACUCAAACACGACGUUGAAUAUCAUAAUUUGGCUACUCAAGAAGAAGUUGACUGUUGAACCGAGUACACCGACGACAUGGUCAUUUUUUAAAAAUGUAAUUUUUCCGACAAUCAAUAAGCUACAUGUCUCCUCAAAAACGAGAAUAUUGAAUUGCAUUCCAGCAACAAGUGACGAUUCAGCAGAUAUAAUCAUAUUUAAGGAUGAAUGGAAUGAUGUUUGCCUGAAUAUUGAAUACUGCUUUGUGGCAGCUCAUGGACUUCAGUAAUGAGGAAAAUGAUAAAAGUGGCAAUUAUUUCCUCGCCGUCCAUUACUGACACUGUGCAUUUAUAUGCUACUGUAUUGACAUGCAACAGUCGUACAAUAUUGAUGACGCCUAUGAAGAUUGUACAGCAGUAUGUGAAGCUGUUUUCUUUAAACCACUACUGAUGCACAAUAACUUCCAUUUGAAGGCUUUUUGCCUUAGAGAGAAGGGCCAUCAAAUAUCACCAAGAUAAUUGGGUACGACAUGGCUAUCCAUAAAUAUUGUAACAUGAAGACAGGGUCUUAGACUAUGGUGGCUGUUGCUGGCAAUUAGAAGUACAUGAAAAGCCAAGCUGUAAGGUAAAAUCUAUAACAGUAUCAGUGAACAAUGAACUACAAAGUACCAUUGGAAGUGAAACUAGUAGCUGACUGGAGUUCCGGUGAAUUGGCUGAACUGGAAUAUACCUCUUGCCCAUGCUUGCCAUAGUAUGGUCUAAAAAUUCACAGAUAGUAGUUCAGAAAUUAAGCUUAGAGCUGGUCUAGCUGUAUUAAAUGAUAACAGUAUGGUGUUUUUAUAGCACCUCUUAAGUCUUCUGUCGAUGUGUUAGAUUCAUCUACAAUAUCACCUUAUUGGAAACCAUAAAUUGACAUGUUAGUUAAUUGAAAAAAUUUAGGAGUUUGUAUAGUAAAUAAUUAUUUAUAUACUGAAACUAAGUAGAUGGUAUUAAAUGGUUAAAUAGUGUAGGGGUUUUUGACCGCAGCUAGUAAGUACUGAAGAAUAGCGUCUGGUAUCCAUACGCCAUUCUUCAGUACUGCGAUCAAAAACCUCUGCACUAUUUAAACUUUCAAUACCAUCAAUACCACCAAACUUAGUUUCAACUCCUAAAUCUUUUCAUGUAAUUAAUAUAUCAACAAAUGGUUUGCAUCUGUUAAUUAUUAGGUUUUUUUAUGCUGUUAACUAAUAUUCUAUUUUAAAUUAUUUUUAACUUGUAAUAUAUUUCCUACAAUGGUUAUCGGAAUAAAAAUAAUCCCCCUCAUGGAAGAAUAUGAAUCACGGAAUAAAUCAACAAAAUAAAAUAUUUUGAUAAAUUAAAAUUUUAAAUUAACAAAUAAAUAUUAUACUAAUAUUAAUAUUUGUUUAUAUACUCAAUUCAAUUACCAACACACAUUUAAUAAACUCGAUUUAAUUUUUUUUUGCUUAAGAUUAUAGCUAUAAUGUUAUUAAUGUUAUUACUUCUUAAUACUGUUAAAAUAUGCUUAAAAAUGAUGAUAAAAAAUAUGAGGAAGUAAAUUAAAUUUGUGUUUAUUUUCAAUAUAAGUAUAGCUUAUUUUGUUAAUUUUCAUUAAGAGGAUGUCAGCUCACUAUUUAUUUUCUCUCUGGCCCACACGCAACAUAGACAAUAGCAUUUACGCAGAAUCAUUUUUUCUAUGUUUUUAAUUAAUCUUAGAGUAAAAUCACCCAUUACAAAAAAGAUUGAGAAUAAUAUUUUUGAGGGAAUGAAUAUUGUCUAAUAUUUUAUUUUUGUCUCUAUAAAUUUGUCUAAAUAUUGUCUCAAAACUAUUUAAACAUAAUUUAAAUGUACAAAAAUGUUUUGUUUAUUUUGACAGUCGAAUACAAAGUCAAAUAACAAAAUAUUGAUUGAUUGAUUGAUAUGUCAUACCCUCAAAAAUAUUAUUUUCUAUCUUUUUUGUAAUGGUUGAUUUUACUCUAAGAUUACUUAAAAACAUAGAAAAAAUGAUUCUGCGUUAAUGUGUUUUGUCUAUGUUAAACGUGGGCCAGAAAGAAAAAACAAAUAGUGCGCUGACUUCCUCUUAAAUAAUAUUUAAUUUUUAACAAAUCCGAGGCCAGGGGAUUUUUUCCACAAGUUUGUUUUAAUUAAAUUGUUUAUGUAAGAGGUUAUGAUGGUUUAUCAAAGCAGAGAUUAAACUCUGUUAAAUUUUGAAUAAUGGAGCAUUUGAGAGUUUAUUGUAUGUCGUUGGUGGUAGUGACGAAUAGGCUUCUAAUUUGGAUUUUGUUAAAUUGUACAAUACCAACAUCAAUACCUGCACAGUGUCAUUGAUUUUAUGAUAAAUGAUUGGCAUAUGAUAAUAUUAUUGAUCUAUUGCAACGGUUCCCAAUCCAUUGGCUGAUGCCCCCAGGCAAUGUGGUGCUGAGCCACGGACGCUAGUUGUGAGUCUAAGCCAAGGGCCAGCAAAUUUUAAUUGGGAUAAACCUCAAGGGGGAAAAGGGGGUAUUCCCCCCACCAAAAAAAAAAAAAAAAUUAAGUCCUGGAUACGCUACUGUUAACAUUGAGAUUUUUGUAUGGUUUUAUAAACGUCUAUAUUUCUUCUAUAGUCUUAUUUGUAUGUGUUUAUAUUUUAUAUAAUGUAUAUAAUGUAUAUUAGGUAAAUGGGCCUCAAAGUUUUUACUAAUAUCUAUAACUUUUCUUUUAAUUUUACAGUUUUAUUAAAAGGUUUUGGUACUACCUAUAUAAAUUGACUAAAAAUUAAAUAAACAAGCUUAAAAAUUAUUUAAAUAGUAUACUUGUACUAAACAUAUUUAUAUUUACACUUAUAAUAAUGUAACACACAAAAUACUUGUUCCUUAAUGUAACAACUAACAUCUAUAUAUAUUUUUUUUUAUUGUUUUUAUAUUGUAUAAUUUAUAUAUAUGUUUUAGUUCAUUAAAGUCUAUAGUACUAUUAUAAACAACAUAUCUGUUUUGAUUUAAAACAUAAAAUCAUAUUGUACAAAUAAUAAAUAAAUUGUAAACGGAAAAAAACCACAUGAAAUAAGAACCUACCUAAUUAAUAGUUGUUUAUGGUUGUUUUGUUAAAACUAUUUAACUAGGACAUUUGUGUAUUUUUCAAAAUAUUCUACUAUUACUUUUUGCAUUAUUAACUAUACUUAUGUAAAAUGGUUAGAUUAAGUUAGGUUAUGCAAUUUGCAAUCAUCCUUGAGUCAACUGGUUGUUUGGUGUUAGUUUAGCUUUAGGUGAUAAGUCAAGAACUUCAGUAAACUAUAAUGUAAUAAACAAAGUAAUCAUUUUUUACUAUAAACAUAUAUAAUAAUUAUAUGGAUAAUUUCUUUACUAAUCUAAAUAAAUUCAUCUAGAUACAUUUUUUAUUGAUAAAAUCGCGAAAUUGUACAAACACAUUUUAAAUAUUUAUACAGAUUCUCAAACCAAGUUUAUGGCUUAUAAAUAAUGUAAUUAUUUUUAUUUAUAUCAUUAUUAUUAUUAUGUUCCUAGUGCUCAACUAAAAUAUACCUAAAUUUAAAACCCAUUAAAAAAAAAUUGUAUCUUUUUUUUAUCUAGAUAAAAAAGUAUUUAUAAGAUAAAUAUGAGUUAAGUUAUCUUUUAUAUUCAUACAUUAGAGUUGCAUUAUCUUUAUCUAGAUAAAAACUACUUAUCUAAUCCGAACACUGGUACUAAGCAAUAUGGCUAUGGAGAGGGGCGCUUGAGUCCCCCCAAUUAAUUUAGUCAAUUUGCGCCUAUGGUCAUAAGCAUGUGGAUACAUAUUUGCAUAAGAUUGGAUAUUAUUAAUUGAAGGUUGAGAUUGAGUUCAGAAUUGUUUGGGUUUUUAGGUGAUAGUUCUUUAUAUUACUAUAUUGUCUUUUCUAAUUUCUAUUUUAUUAUACAUAUUAUUACAUUAUUUACAUUAUAUUCAUGUAUAAUACGGACAAAUAAUUUCGUUUUAUUAUAUCAUUUUAUAGUAUUAGAUUGUCUUGGCAUGGUGGUGUAGUGGCGUACGCCGGCGGUGUAACAAGUUUAUGAAAAUAUUUUUAAAAUCCAGUUGUCAACGAUGCAGCCACCGAGUAGUCCACAACGAUAUCGAUAAUUCCCGCGUCCGCUGUUCUAUUAUGUCGAAUUAUUAUAUUACACGCAACAUUUUUUUUUCAUAUAAUCUAUUGACUAUUAUAGUAUUAUAAUAUUCAUAUUAUAAAGAUACAACUCGACGUUGAACACGAUUAGACGUCCUCUUACUAACUAAUAACAUUGUCGAUAGUGUUGCCGUUUUCGCCCCGUGGUCACGCAUCUAGUUACUAUAUUUUAAUUUUUUAAGAUAAUUGUAAAAAACCAAUGCGAGAACACGGAUAAUUUUCUUACCAAAAAGUUUGAUAAUAUGUCAAUCCACAUCAAUAUCAAAAUUAACAGCACAUUAUUGAAACCGGUGAACGAAAAUGUUCUUGGUAUUACCGGUGUAAGACCAGGCACAUAUUUUUUUUUUUUUGGGGGGUGGGCUUAAUUUCAAAUCUCCAAUCAGUCCAAUAUACGAGAAAAUUAUUAAUCUAUCUAGAUUAUUAAAAUUAAUAAAAUUAAGAUCAGGAAAAAUGCAAUCAAAUUAAAUAAUACAUAUUUUCAGUUUACACAUAAUUUUUAAAAUAUGAGUACCUAUAAACCAUUACUAUGUACUCGAUAGGAUAUUAGGAUACCAUAGGUAAACUAGAGUCUUUAUUAUUUCAAUAUGAAAUAUGAACAGUAUUUUUUUUUACAAUAAGAAAAAAAAUUAAGCGCUUAUAAUGCAAUCAUUGUAUUAAUUUUUGUUUUACUUAUACUUUUUUUUAUAAAAACUAAUAUGUUUAUUUAACAUUGGUUUUCCUAGAGAAUUAAAAGAUAAUUAACAGAUGUGAAUAUGAAAUAUUGGAACGAAUUCAGUAUAAGGUCACCUAUCGUGACCUGUUUUUUUGCUCAAAAACAUUGUUCACAGGAAAAACUCUCACGCCUCCAUGAUCCGAUUUCGAUAAUUUUUUUUUUAAAGAAAAACAUUUUUUACAGGGGACAUUGAGCUUGGAUUUUUAAAAUUCUUUUAAACUUUAUAAUACGAUGUUGAAUAUGACUAAUUUUCCCAAGAUUUUGUAAAUUUUUGUGUUUUAGGCCACGAAAUUAAAAAUCAAAUGCGCCCUGUAGAAAAUUAUCCCUUUUCUAUUAUAUUAUAUUUUUAUCAGUGUUAUCACUUUAAAAUAUUAACGUUAAGGUGCUAUUAUUCAAUUUUUGAAUUAGGGUUAUAAAUUACGGCAUAUUUAUACGCUGUAUUUUAGUCUUUUUAGAAUUGGUUUAGUGUAGGAUUAUGAAUAAUGUACAUCGUUCAAUUAGCAUCUAUAUUCUGUUUUUUGAACUAUAAAUAAAACCGAUUACGACAAUCGUCUAUUUUCUUAAACUCAUUAGUCUUUAUACAUAUAAAAAAAGAAUACAAUAUUUUUCAACAGAGCUAUUUAAAUCAUUGCUAAAGGUUUUUUUAUAAAUUAAUUCAUAAAUGCUAUUAUACUAUUUAAAAUAAUAAUUAUUGUUAAAAAUAGUUAGGUACAUUUAAAUAAAAAUGUCUUAAAAAAUGUACCAGACACAUUAAAAAACGUAAGACAUUUAUUGUAUCGUAUGCAUUAUGAAUGACUAUUUUAUUAAUGCUUUAAUGUCUAGUGGAUAUAUGAUGCUUAAUAAGGUUUAAUUAAUAAAGUUACGAGCAUUUUUAAUUAACACUGCACCUAUUAUACAUACAAAACUUCUAAAAAUUGAACUUAAAAACCCACUUACAAACACAGAUAAGGUUCUUAACAUCAAGUUUCAUAAUAGGUCGAUUCACUUUAAUUUUUAAACUGACGAAGCCACAAGUGAUCUGCUCAGCGUACAUUUUCUAUGUUACGCACUUGUAAGAUACGAGACAACAAAUACCAGUGUUAGGUACGUCCUCUUAAAAAGAUAGAAAAAUUAAAUAUAACUCAUUUUUUACCAAAUAAGUUUUGUAAAUAUGAUGAUGACAUUACUAAAUCGGAUUAGUCAUUAGUGGCAAAUUAUUAUAUUCUAAUACUAUAACUAUAUUAU